UACGGGGGGGGUAAGCGUUGUUCGGAAUUACUGGGCGUAAAGGGCUCGUAGGCGGCCAACUAAGUCGGACGUGAAAUCCCUCAGCUUAACUGGGGAACUGCGUCCGAUACUGGAUGGCUUGGAUUUGGGAGAGGGAUGCGGAAUUCCAGGUGUAGCGGUGAAAUGCGUAGAUAUCGGAAGGAACAUCAGUGGCGAAAGCGACUUCCUGGACCAAUACUGACGCUCAUGUGCGAAAGCGUGGGGAGCAAACAGG
rnacentral:rRNA from 1 species